GACGAACGCUGGCGGCGUGCUUAACACAUGCAAGUCGAACGGUGAAGGGGUCUGCUUUUGUGGGCCCUGGAUGAGUGGCGAACGGGUGAGUAACACGUGAGUAACCUGCCCCCUUCUUCUGGAUAACCGCAUGAAAGUGUGGCUAAUACGGGAUAUUCUGGGUCUGUCGCAUGAUGGGUCUGGGAAAGAUUGCGCCUUUGGGUGUUUUUGGUGGGGGAUGGGCUCGCGGCCUAUCAGCUUGUUGGUGGGGUGAUGGCCUACCAAGGCGGUGACGGGUAGCCGGCCUGAGAGGGUGGACGGUCACACUGGGACUGAGACACGGCCCAGACUCCUACGGGAGGCAGCAGUGGGGAAUAUUGCACAAUGGGCGCAAGCCUGAUGCAGCGACGCCGCGUGAGGGAUGGAGGCCUUCGGGGUGUAAACCUCUUUCGCCAGUGAAGCAGGCCUGCUCCUUGUGGGUGGGUUGACGGUAGCUGGAGAAGAAGCGCCGGCUAACUACGUG
rnacentral:rRNA from 1 species